rnacentral:rRNA from 1 species
CUAGUAAUCGCGGAUCAGCACGCCGCGGUGAAUACGUUCCCGGGCCUUGUACACACCGCCCGUCACACCAUGAGAGUCUGUAACACCCAAAGCCGGUGGGAUAACCUUUAUAGGAGUCAGCCGUCUAAGGUAGGACAGAUGAUUAGGGUGAAGUCGUAACAAGGUACC